rnacentral:rRNA from 1 species
GUGGGGAAUUUUGGACAAUGGGGGCAACCCUGAUCCAGCCAUGCCGCGUGCGGGAAGAAGGCCUUCGGGUUGUAAACCGCUUUUGUCAGGGAAGAAAUCCUUUGGGUUAAUACCUCGGAGGGAUGACGGUACCUGAAGAAUAAGCACCGGCUAACUACGUGCCAGCAGCCGCGGUAAUACGUAGGGUGCGAGCGUUAAUCGGAAUUACUGGGCGUAAAGCGUGCGCAGGCGGUUUUGUAAGAUCGAUGUGAAAUCCCCGGGCUCAACCUGGGAAUUGCGCUUGUGACUGCAAGGCUGGAGUGCGGCAGAGGGGGAUGGAAUUCCGCGUGUAGCAGUGAAAUGCGUAGAUAUGCGGAGGAACACCGAUGGCGAAGGCAAUCCCCUGGGCCUGCACUGACGCUCAUGCACGAAAGCGUGGGGAGCAAACAGGAUUAGAAACCCUGGUAGUCC